UACGAAGGGGGCUAGCGUUGCUCGGAAUGACUGGGCGUAAAGGGCGCGUAGGCGGAUGGCACAGUCAGAUGUGAAAUUCCCGGGCUUAACCUGGGGGCUGCAUUUGAUACGUGUUGUCUAGAGUGAGGAAGAGGGUUGUGGAAUUCCCAGUGUAGAGGUGAAAUUCGUAGAUAUUGGGAAGAACACCAGAGGCGAAGGCGGUUUCCUGGGCCAACACUGACGCUGAGGCGCGAAAGCGUGGGGAGCAAACAGG
rnacentral:rRNA from 1 species